rnacentral:rRNA from 1 species
UACGUAGGGGGCGAGCGUUGUCCGGAUUUACUGGGCGUAAAGCGCACGCAGGCGGUCUGCUAAGUUUGGAGUGACAGUUGGUGGCUUAACUGCCAAAGUGCUUCGAAAACUGACAGACUUGAGGGCUUCAGAGGGACACGGAAUUCCGGGUGGAGUGGUGAAAUGCGUAGAGAUCCGGAGGAACACCAAAGGCGAUGGCAGUGUCCUGGGGAGUACCUGACGCUCAGGUGCGAAAGCCAGGGGAGCGAACGGG